rnacentral:rRNA from 1 species
GCGGCGUGCCUAAUACAUGCAAGUCGAACGAUGAAGCUUCUAGCUUGCUAGAAGUGGAUUAGUGGCGCACGGGUGAGUAAUGCAUAGGUAACAUGCCCUUUAGUCUGGGAUAGCCACUGGAAACGGUGAUUAAUACUAGAUACUCCCUACGGGGGAAAGUUUUUCGCUAAAGGAUUGGCCUAUGUCCUAUCAGCUUGUUGGUGAGGUAAUGGCUCACCAAGGCUAUGACGGGUAUCCGGCCUGAGAGGGUGAUCGGACACACUGGAACUGAGACACGGUCCAGACUCCUACGGGAGGCAGCAGUAGGGAAUAUUGCUCAAUGGGGGAAACCCUGAAGCAGCAACGCCGCGUGGAGGAUGAAGGUUUUCGGAUUGUAAACUCCUUUUGUUAGAGAAGAUAAUGACGGUAUCUAACGAAUAAGCACCGGCUAACUCCGUGCCAGCAGCCGCGGUAAUACGGAGGGUGCAAGCGUUACUCGGAAUCACUGGGCGUAAAGAGCGCGUAGGCGGGGUAGCAAGUCAGAUGUGAAAUCCUAUGGCUUAACUAUAGAACUGCAUUUGAAACUGUUACUCUAGAGUAUGGGAGAGGUAGGUGGAAUUCUUGGUGUAGGGGUAAAAUCCGUAGAGAUCAAGAGGAAUACUCAUUGCGAAGGCGACCUGCUGGAACAUUACUGACGCUGAUGCGCGAAAGCGUGGGGAGCAAACAGGAUUAGAUACCCUGGUAGUCCACGCCCUAAACGAUGAAUGCUAGUUGUUGUGAGGCUUGUCCUUGCAGUAAUGCAGCUAACGCAUUAAGCAUUCCGCCUGGGGAGUACGGUCGCAAGAUUAAAACUCAAAGGAAUAGACGGGGACCCGCACAAGCGGUGGAGCAUGUGGUUUAAUUCGAAGAUACGCGAAGAACCUUACCUAGGCUUGACAUUGAUAGAAUCUACUAGAGAUAGUGGAGUGCCCUUUUAGGGAGCUUGAAAACAGGUGCUGCACGGCUGUCGUCAGCUCGUGUCGUGAGAUGUUGGGUUAAGUCCCGCAACGAGCGCAACCCUCGUCCUUAGUUGCUAGCAGUUUGGCUGAGCACUCUAAGGAGACUGCCUUCGUAAGGAGGAGGAAGGUGAGGAUGACGUCAAGUCAUCAUGGCCCUUACGCCUAGGGCUACACACGUGCUACAAUGGGGUGCACAAAGAGAAGCAAUACUGCGAAGUGGAGCCAAUCUCUAAAACAUCUCUCAGUUCGGAUUGUAGUCUGCAACUCGACUACAUGAAGCUGGAAUCGCUAGUAAUCGUGAAUCAGCCAUGUCACGGUGAAUACGUUCCCGGGUCUUGUACUCACCGCCCGUCACACCAUGGGAGUUGUAUUCGCCUUAAGUCGGAAUACUAA